rnacentral:rRNA from 1 species
UGGAUCCAGACUUUGAUUAUGGCUCAGGAUGAACGCCAGCUACAGGCUUAACACAUGCAAGUCGAGGGGAAACGAUAUUGGAAGCUUGCUUCCGAUAGGCGUCGACCGGCGCACGGGUGAGUAACGCGUAUCCAACCUGCCCAUCACUUGGGGAUAACCUUGCGAAAGUAAGACUAAUACCCAAUGACGUCUCUAGAAGACAUCUGAAAGAGAUUAAAGAUUUAUCGGUGAUGGAUGGGGAUGCGUCUGAUUAGCUUGUUGGCGGGGUAACGGCCCACCAAGGCAACGAUCAGUAGGGGUUCUGAGAGGAAGGUCCCCCACAUUGGAACUGAGACACGGUCCAAACUCCUACGGGAGGCAGCAGUGAGGAAUAUUGGUCAAUGGACGAGAGUCUGAACCAGCCAAGUAGCGUGCAGGAUGACGGCCCUAUGGGUUGUAAACUGCUUUUAUAAGGGAAUAAAGUGAGUCUCGUGAGACUUUUUGCAUGUACCUUAUGAAUAAGGACCGGCUAAUUCCGUGCCAGCAGCCGCGGUAAUACGGAAGGUCCGGGCGUUAUCCGGAUUUAUUGGGUUUAAAGGGAGCGUAGGCCGGAGAUUAAGCGUGUUGUGAAAUGUAGGCGCUCAACGUCUGCACUGCAGCGCGAACUGCCCCACUUGAGUGCGCGCAACGCCGGCGGAACUCGUCGUGUAGCGGUGAAAUGCUUAGAUAUCACGAAGAACUCCGAUUGCGAAGGCAGCUCACUGGAGCGCAACUGACGCUGAAGCUCGAAAGUGCGGGUAUCGAACAGGAUUAGAUACCCUGGUAGUCCGCACGGUAAACGAUGGAUGCCCGCUGUUGGUCUGAAUAGGUCAGCGGCCAAGCGAAAGCAUUAAGCAUCCCACCUGGGGAGUACGCCGGCAACGGUGCAACUCAAAGGAAUUGACGGA